ensembl:snoRNA small nucleolar RNA MBII-202
UGAUGACAAAUCUCCGGAAUCUCUGUAUUUACUUGAUGAAUACUUUGAACCCUUUUUCUGAUGACUGCUUUAAACUGCUU